GCUAAGAUGCCCGAGCUGGUCCAAGGGGGACGACUUAAGAUCGUCUGCACGCGCGUGCGCGUGGGUUCGAAUCCCACUCUUAGCA